rnacentral:rRNA from 1 species
GGAGCUUGCUCCUUUGAAGUUAGCGGCGGACGGGUGAGUAACACGUGGGUAACCUACCUAUAAGACUGGAAUAACUUCGGGAAACCGGAGCUAAUGCCGGAUAACAUUUGGAACCGCAUGGUUCUAAAGUAAAAGAUGGUUUUGCUAUCACUUAUAGAUGGACCCGCGCCGUAUUAGCUAGUUGGUAAGGUAACGGCUUACCAAGGCAACGAUACGUAGCCGACCUGAGAGGGUGAUCGGCCACACUGGAACUGAGACACGGUCCAGACUCCUACGGGAGGCAGCAGUAGGGAAUCUUCCGCAAUGGACGAAAGUCUGACGGAGCAACGCCGCGUGAGUGAUGAAGGUUUUCGGAUCGUAAAACUCUGUUAUUAGGGAAGAACAAAUGUGUAAGUAACUGUGCACAUCUUGACGGUACCUAAUCAGAAAGCCACGGCUAACUACGUGCCAGCAGCCGCGGUAAUACGUAGGUGGCAAGCGUUAUCCGGAAUUAUUGGGCGUAAAGCGCGCGUAGGCGGUUUCUUAAGUCUGAUGUGAAAGCCCACGGCUCAACCGUGGAGGGUCAUUGGAAACUGGGAAACUUGAGUACAGAAGAGGAAAGUGGAAUUCCAUGUGUAGCGGUGAAAUGCGCAGAGAUAUGGAGGAACACCAGUGGCGAAGGCGACUUUCUGGUCUGUAACUGACGCUGAUGUGCGAAAGCGUGGGGAUCAAACAGGAUUAGAUACCCUGGUAGUCCACGCCGUAAACGAUGAGUGCUAAGUGUUAGGGGGUUUCCGCCCCUUAGUGCUGCAGCUAACGCAUUAAGCACU